rnacentral:misc_RNA from 1 species
CAGCACAUCACUACAACAAAAGACAAAUUUUCAUUUGUUUUUAAUGUUUUACACAAAUAUAAAUAAGUGUAUGGAAUAAGCCACGCGUUCAAUAGCCAAUAACAUUGCAAAUAAAGCAACAAAUAUCCUAGUCAAUUUAUACAAUAUAGUAGUUUAGCAAGGUUAUCAUUUGCAAAGAUGUUUAUCUAAAAAAAAUCGAACGAAUUGAUUAAGUAUUACAAAAUUACAUUGAAUAGUUGCUAAGUAAACGCGUUUACUCGAGCAAUGGUUUCGGCAAUACACAAACGCCUGGGGGCUUUAUUUAUCGUGUUAAUAUUUUUGUACCUCUACAUGCGCUUUUUUACGAAUUAUGUUGACUUUACCUAUUUCCACCAAACCCAUGAACGCACAGCCGGAACGCCCUUAUUAGUGACGGUGUAUUACGAGGCACUAUGUGGUGAUUCUAAGCAUUUUAUAAUCAGGCAAUUGUUACCAGCUUUUAAGCAAGCUGAGCCACUUAUGGAAAUUCAAAUGAUACCUUAUGGCAAGGCAAAAACUUUCACGGAACCAGAUGGCACAUAUCGUUUUGAAUGUCAACAUGGAAGUGUCGAAUGCGAAGGAAAUAUGUAUCAUGCAUGUGCUAUUGAAGCGAUUGAAAGUACAAAGGAUCGACUUAAUGUUAUUGCUUGUAUGAUACGUGAUAAUAGAGCGCCCAAGGAAGCUAUGCAUAAGUGCUCCCGUCAAUAUGGCAUUGAAAAUACUGAUCUCAUACAGAAAUGUUUCAAUAGCAGCCAUGGCGGAGAAUUGCUAAAACUCUACGGUGAAGCUACGGAGGCACUUCGGCCGCCAGUUAAAUUCAUACCUACUAUAACACUAGAUGGAUCCCAAUUUCGACAGGCAACUAUUCUAAAAGAUCUACUAGGUGAAGUUUGCAGAACUCUUGGGGAGACAGAGCAAACGAAAAAGUAUUGCAUUUCAUAAAAUAGCGCGGUGGAAAACUUCCUAAAGAAUAAACGUGCAUAUUUUAUUACCACAUAAAGGCCAGAAAUAUGUGUAAGCCACCUUGUCACGAUUACUAAGACAUUAUUGCAUUUCAACAAAUUUCUCAAUAUCUACUUUCCAAUAUUGAGGUGUAUUAGUGCAAGAAAUCCUCAGCCUGCACAAAACAAACCAUUUUAAAAAUUUUAGUCAUAGAUGUACAUACAUACGUAACCCAAUUGCAUACUCAUUAAAGUGACAAAUAUAUACAAGUGCCGUGUAAAGCAUUUUAUUUGAGAGAAAUUGAAUAAAGUAAAGCAUUUAGUUACGUUUGUGAA